rnacentral:piRNA from 1 species
UGAAAAGAGAAGUCACCCUCUGACACCC